rnacentral:rRNA from 1 species
UACGUAGGCGGAAAAUUAAGUCAGUAGUGAAAUCCUGCAGCUUAACUGUAGAACUGUUAUUGAUACUGGUUUUCUUGAAUAUAGUUGAGGUAGGCGGAAUGUGUAAUGUAGCAGUGAAAUGCUUAGAUAUUACACAGAACACCGAUUGCGAAGGCAGCUUACUAAGCUAUGAUUGACGCUGAGGUACGAAAGCGUGGGGAGCGAACAGGAUUAGAUACCCUGGUAGUCC